rnacentral:rRNA from 1 species
CAAUAGCGUAUAUUAAAGUUGUUGCGGUUAAAAAGCUCGUAGUUGGAUUUCUGUUGAGAACGUCCGGUCCGCACUAUGUGCGUGUAUCUGGUUCGGUCUUGGCAUCCUCUUGAGGAACGUAUCUGCGCUUGAUUGCGUGGAGCGGUAUUCAAGACUUUUACUUUGAGGAAAUUAGAGUGUUCACGGCAGGCAAGCGCCUUGAAUACGUUAGCAUGGAAUAAUAAUAUAGGAUCUUGGUUCUAUUUUGUUGGUUUCUAGGGCUAAGGUAAUGAUUAAUAGGGAUAAUUGGGGGCAUUUGUAUUAACGCGUCAGAGGUGGAAUUCUUUGAUUGCGUUACGACAAACUACUGCGAAAGCAUUUGCCAAGGAUGUUUUCAUUGA